rnacentral:miRNA from 1 species
AUUACACUGUCAAUCACUUAAGUC